GAUUGCGAUCAUACCAGCACUAAAGCACCGGAUCACAUCAGAACUAUGAAGUUAAGCGUGCUUGGGCAAGAGUAGAACUAGGAUGGGUGACCUCCUAGGAAGUCCUCGUGUUGCAUCCC
rnacentral:rRNA from 1 species